rnacentral:rRNA from 1 species
CACGUAGGGGGCAAGCGUUGUCCGGAUUCAUUGGGCGUAAAGAGCUCGUAGGCGGUUCGAUAAGUCGGGUGUGAAACCUCCAGGCUCAACCUGGAGACGCCACCCGAUACUGUCGUGACUAGAGUCCAGUAGGGGAGCGUGGAAUUCCUGGUGUAGCGGUGAAAUGCGCAGAUAUCAGGAGGAACACCUGUGGCGAAGGCGGAUCUCUGGGCCGGUACUGACGCUGAGGAGCGAAAGCGUGGGGAGCGAACAGG